CUGGCCGUGCCUACGAAAGGAAUGAGGCCUACCUGAAACCGUGGUCGAGCGGUCGAAACAGUGCUAACCCACUCGUGCGCCUACGAAGACGUGGACCGGAAAAGUGUUUACCAUACGCGCCUUUCCUCUUUACUGUCUGAAAAAACUGCGUGCACGUUUAAAAGCUCGAUAGUGGAGAGUAACAGCCUGGCCAUACUUGGAGAGAAAACGUGCCACCCGGAUUCGACUAUGACGACGGCGCGAAUCUUGUGCGGUGGCUGCUGAAAACUGCGCGCGGGGAAUUUUAAAGCGGUUUUCUUGGCACUGGCUUACUGCUGAUUCCCUCCAUCAUCACACGGGGAUUCGGCAAUCUUACCAUCAGCUGAAAAACUGCAUCCCGGUCAUGGUCUCGACUAAGCCCCAGCUAUCGCUCCGAUGCCGAUCAACGAAUUGAUCCUUCCUCUGCAAAAGCCAAAUUCGUCUACAGCGCCACUGCCCUUCACCAAGAGUUUAAAGGUUUUCUUGGCACUGGCUUACUGCUGAUUCCCUCCAUCAUCACACGGGGAUUCGGCAAUCUUACCAUCAGCUGAAAAACUGCAUCCCGGUCAUGGUCUCGACUAAGCCCCAGCUAUCGCUCCGAUGCCGAUCAACGAAUUGAUCCUUCCUCUGCAAAAGCCAAAUUCGUCUACAGCGCCACUGCCCUUCACCAAGAGUUUAAAGGUUUUCUUGGCACUGGCUUACUGCUGAUUCCCUCCAUCAUCACACGGGGAUUCGGCAAUCUUACCAUCAGCUGAAAAACUGCAUCCCGGUCAUGGUCUCGACUAAGCCCCAGCUAUCGCUCCGAUGCCGAUCAACGAAUUGAUCCUUCCUCUGCAAAAGCCAAAUUCGUCUACAGCGCCACUGCCCUUCACCAAGAGUUUAAAGGUCUGACCGCCGCCUUGGUCAGGAGCUCCUCAGCUGCUGGGGACUGAGGGCCGUGGGCUAAUUGUGGAUAUCAUCAGGGAGGUUGUGUCCGAACACUGCGCCAGGGAGGCCAAUUCCUG